rnacentral:rRNA from 1 species
UAUACAGCGAAACUGCGAAUGGCUCAUUAUAUAAGUUAUCGUUUAUUUGAUAGUGCCUUACUACUUGGAUAACCGUGGUAGUUCUAGAGCUAAUACAUGCUAAAAACCCCGACUUCGGAAGGGGUGUAUUUAUUAGAUACAAAACCAAUGCCCUUCGGGGCUCUUUGGUGAUUCAUGAUAACUAUACGAAUCGCACGGCCUUGCGCCGGCGAUGGUUCAUUCAAAUUUCUUCCCUAUCAACUUUCGAUGUUUGGGUAUUGGCCAAACAUGGUUGCAGCGGGUAACGGAGGGUUAGGGCUCGACCCCGGAGAAGGAGCCUGAGAAACGGCUACUACAUCCAAGGAAGGCAGCAGGCGCGCAAAUUACCCAAUCCCGACUCGGGGAGGUAGUGACAAUAAAUACUGAUACAGGGCCCUUUCGGGCCUUGUAAUUGGAAUGAGUACAAUUUAAAUCCCUUAACGAGGAACAAUUGGAGGGCAAGUCUGGUGCCAGCAGCCGCGGUAAUUCCAGCUCCAAUAGCGUAUAU